AUGCACGCUGACAGAAUGCUUAACCCAUGCAAGUCUUUGGCGAAGCUGUGCUUGCACAGCCUAGCCAAGGCGGACGGGUGAGUAACGCGUAAGGAACUUGCCCUGCAGUCAGGGAUAACAGACGGAAACGACUGAUAAGACCUGGUAAAGUCAGGCGGACUCAUGUCCAGCCUGAUGAAAAGAGAUGCUGCAGGAGAGCCUUGCGUCCUAUUAGCUUGUUGGUGGGGUAACGGCCCACCAAGGCGAUGAUAGGUAGCCGGCCUGAGAGGGUGGACGGCCACAAGGGGACUGAGAUACGGCCCUUACUCCUACGGGAGGCAGCAGUGGGGAAUAUUGGACAAUGGGGGCAACCCUGAUCCAGCAAUUCUGUGUGCACGAUGAAGGUUUUCGGAUUGUAAAGUGCUUUCAGCAGGGAAGAAAAAAUGACGGUACCUGCAGAAGAAGCGACGGCUAAAUACGUG
rnacentral:rRNA from 1 species